GGCUGUAGCUCAGUGGGAGAGUAUUUGCCUACCACAUAGGAGGUACUGGGUUUGAUCCUCAGCAUCA
rnacentral:tRNA from 1 species